UCUCCGUAGGUGAACCUGCGGAGGGAUCAUUACUAGAGAUGCGCCGAGCGUCCUAGACCACCGCGAACCGUCCGGCGAAGUCGUUGCCUCGGCGGGCGACCCCGGGGGGGUCAGGUGCCUGGGGAGCCCAGGUGCCCGCCGGGGGACCAGCAGAACACCAGUUGUCGAGCGAGUCCUCUGAGGGAAAGAAAAUAGAGUCAAAACUUUCAGCAACGGAUCUCUUGGUUCUGGCAUCGAUGACGAACGCAGC
rnacentral:misc_RNA from 1 species